rnacentral:rRNA from 1 species
AUUGAACGCUGGCGGCAGGCCUAACACAUGCAAGUCGAACGAGUGGCGGACGGGUGAGUAAUGUCUGGGAAACUGCCUGAUGGAGGGGGAUAACUACUGGAAACGGUAGCUAAUACCGCAUACCAUCAGAGGUGCCCAGAUGGGAUUAGCUUGUUGGUGGGGUAACGGCUAACCAAGGCGACGAUCCCUAGCUGGUCUGAGAGGAUGACCAGCCAAACUGGAACUGAGACACGGGCCAGAAUCCCACGGGGGGCAGGAGUUGGGAAUAUUGCAACAUGGGGGCAAGCCUGAAGGAGCCCUGCCGCGUGGAGUAAGAAGGCCUUCGGGGUUGAAAGGACUUUCAGCGGGGGGGCGUUACCCGCAGAAGAAGGACCGGCUAAAUCCGUGGCAGCAGCCGGGGGAAUAC